rnacentral:rRNA from 1 species
GUAAGGAAUAUUGGUCAAUGGAGGGAACUCUGAACCAGCCAUGCCGCGUGAAGGAUGACGGCCCUCUGGGUUGUAAACUUCUUUUGGAUGGGGCGAAAAAACGGGAUUUAUCCUGGACUGACGGUACCAUCAGAAUAAGCACCGGCUAACUCCGUGCCAGCAGCCGCGGUAAUACGGAGGGUGCAAGCGUUAUCCGGAAUCACUGGGUUUAAAGGGUGCGUAGGCGGUUGUAUAAGUCAGGGGUGAAAGGAUGCAGCUUAACUGUAUAAUUGCCUUUGAUACUGUAUGACUUGAAUAAGGUUGAGGUUGGCGGAAUGUGACAUGUAGCGGUGAAAUGCUUAGAUAUGUCAUGGAACACCGAUUGCGAAGGCAGCUGACUGGGCCUUUAUUGACGCUGAGGCACGAAAGCGUGGGUAGCGAACAGGAUUAGAAACCCUAGUAGUCC